GAGCAGCUCAGAUGCCAUGAAUUAAGUGAAGCACAAAAGGGGAAAAGGAGACCCUUUUGAAGAACAAAGGCCUCCCAUUGGGCUGCCAUGUUCUUUUUUUGACCAAAAGCGCACCCUGCUUGGUUUCCAUUGUUGUCCACAUGCCCUGCACAUAAGGUCUUUGUGGAAUUUACUCUUUCUGAUAAAUUUGUAUAGGAGAGAGAUAUGAUGUUAUUCAAG
rnacentral:lncRNA from 1 species